rnacentral:rRNA from 1 species
AUUGAACGCAGGCGGCAUGCUUUACACAUGCAAGUCGAACGGUAACAGGCCGCAAGGUGCUGACGAGUGGCGAACGGGUGAGUAAUGCAUCGGAACGUGCCCAGUCGUGGGGGAUAACGCAGCGAAAGCUGUGCUAAUACCGCAUACGAUCUAUGGAUGAAAGCGGGGGACCGUAAGGCCUCGCGCGAUUGGAGCGGCCGAUGUCAGAUUAGGUAGUUGGUGGGGUAAAGGCUCACCAAGCCAACGAUCUGUAGCUGGUCUGAGAGGACGACCAGCCACACUGGGACUGAGACACGGCCCAGACUCCUACGGGAGGCAGCAGUGGGGAAUUUUGGACAAUGGGCGCAAGCCUGAUCCAGCAACGCCGCGUGCAGGAAGAAGGCCUUCGGGUUGUAAACUGCUUUUGUACGGAACGAAAAGGUUUGGGUUAAUACCCUGGGCCGAUGACGGUACCGUAAGAAUAAGCACCGGCUAACUACGUGCCAGCCGCCGCGGUAA